GAUGAACGCUGGCGGCGUGCUUAACACAUGCAAGUCGAACGGGGUUUACGAGAAGCUUGCUUUUUGUAAACCUAGUGGCGGACGGGUGAGUAACGCGUGAGUAACCUGCCUUAGACUGGGGGAUAACACUUAGAAAUAGGUGCUAAUACCGCAUAAGCGCACAGUAUCGCAUGAUACAGUGUGAAAAACUCCGGUGGUCUAAGAUGGACUCGCGUCUGAUUAGCUGGUUGGUGAGGUAACGGCCCACCAAGGCGACGAUCAGUAGCCGGCCUGAGAGGGUGAACGGCCACAUUGGGACUGAGACACGGCCCAAACUCCUACGGGAGGCAGCAGUGGGGGAUAUUGCACAAUGGGCGAAAGCCUGAUGCAGCGACGCCGCGUGAGUGAAGAAGUAUUUCGGUAUGUAAAGCUCUAUCAGCAGGGAAGAAAAUGACG
rnacentral:rRNA from 1 species